rnacentral:rRNA from 1 species
UACAGAGGUCCCAAGCGUUGUUCGGAUUUACUGGGCGUAAAGGGUGCGUAGGUGGUCGGGUAAGUCUCAUGUGAAAUCUCCAAGCUUAACUUGGAAAUGGCAUGGGAUACUAUUCGGCUAGAGGAUUGGAGGGGGGACUGGAAUUCCCGGUGUAGCAGUGAAAUGCGUAGAUAUCGGGAGGAACACCAGUGGCGAAGGCGAGUCCCUGGACAAUUCCUGACGCUGAGGCACGAAAGCUAGGGGAGCAAAC